CCUGGCGCGAGAGCUCUAUUCCCGCGGGAUGUCGGGCUGACGUGGGGCGGAGCCGGCCUGGGCUUGGCAUCCCCUGGCGUGGCCCACCGGUCUGUCACGAAAGCUGUUGCGACAUGCAGGCAGCGGCCGGUUAAACUCUUGUCAGGGACAUGGUAAAAUUGUUUUUCCUAUCUCCUUGAAGACAGGCAUUGCUAUGGGGUUUGCUUGACAAAGGAAAUGUGAGAGAAGUUGAUAGAAUACAGACCCAGAAGAUGUCAACCGUUUUUGGUCAUGAGGACAAGGCCUACCUUAGCAGGUGGCAGAGCAAGAGGCAGAGAAAACCUGCUGCCUUAGUGCUCUGGACUACAUGCUCUGUUACAGGAGAGAGCUUGUUCAUGAAGUUGCUG
ensembl:lncRNA